AUACAUGAGCAAAAUCUCAACUUUAUUAGAAGAGACGCAUUUAUUAGAUAAAAAGCCAAUGCAUGCUUUUACAGUAUGAAAAUUGGUGUUUUAUAAUAACUAAGCAAAUCGCAGAGUGAAAACAGGCGAUAAAUCAUUCAAGUUUCUGACCUAUCAGCUUUUGACGGUAUGGUAUUGGCUUACCGUGGCAGUGACGGUUAACGGGGAACUAGGGUUUGAUUCCGGAGAGGGAGCCUGAGAAACGGCUACCACAUCUAAGGGAGGCAGCAGGCGCGCAAAUUACCCAAUUCUAACAGUUUGAGAGAGGUAGUAACAAGAAAUAACAAUACAAGGCAAUUAAAAUGCUUUGUAAUUGGAAUGAUAGAAAUUUAAACCCUUUUUAAAGUAUCAAUUGGAGGGCAAGUCUGGUGCCAGCAGCCGCGGUAAUUCCAGCUCCAAUAGCGUAUAUUAAAAUUGUUGCAGUUAAAAAGCUCGUAGUUGAAGUUCUGCUAAAAGUAACCGGUCUGCUUUUAAUAAAAGUGGUAUCUUGGUGUGUAUUUAGCAAUGAUGUCCUUUGAAGUGUUUUUUACUUUAUUGUAAUAAAGCAUAUUCAGGACUUUUACUUUGAGAAAAUUAGAGUGUUUCUAGCAGGCGGACGCUUUGAAUACUGCAGCAUGGAAUAAUAAG
rnacentral:rRNA from 1 species